AUGCAGACUAAGCAGACUUAUCUGCAGUGACCAGACGUUUCGUUCCCGUUGUACAUAAGCUUCAGACAGCCUGACCUUGCAGCUCAUGAGAUUUUGAUGAGACAGAAAAUAUCUCUGCUUUGUCUAAUGGAGAUGACAUUUAAGAGACCAGCCACAAACCGACAGUUAACAUUUGCAGAAAUCGCCACAGAAACAGAUUACCAGAAGGGGAGGU